UGGUAGUGGGGGACUGCGUUCGC
rnacentral:piRNA from 3 species